rnacentral:rRNA from 1 species
AUUGAACGCUGGCGGCAGGCCUAACACAUGCAAGUCGAACGAGUGGCGGACGGGUGAGUAAUGUCUGGGAAACUGCCUGAUGGAGGGGGAUAACUACUGGAAACGGUAGCUAAUACCGCAUACCAUCGGAUGUGCCCAGAUGGGAAUAGCUAGUAGGUGGGGGAAAGGCUCACCUAGGCGACGAUCCCUAGCUGGUCUGAGAGGAUGACCAGCCACACUGGAACUGGGACACGGUCCAGACUCCUACGGGAGGCAGCAGUGGGGAAUAUUGCACAAUGGGCGCAAGCCUGAGGGAGCCAAGCCGCGUGUAUGAAGAAGUCCUUCUGGGUGUAAAGUACUUUCAGCGGGGAGGCGAUACCCGCAGAAGAAGCACCGACUAACUCCGUGCCAGCAGCCGCGGUAAUAC